CUGUUUGAUCCUGGCUCAGGACGAACGCUGGCGGCGUGCUUAACACAUGCAAGUCGAACGGAAAGGCCCUGCUUUUGUGGGGUGCUCGAGUGGCGAACGGGUGAGUAACACGUGAGUAACCUGCCCUUGACUUUGGGAUAACUUCAGGAAACUGGGGCUAAUACCGGAUAGGAGCUCCUGCUGCAUGGUGGGGGUUGGAAAGUUUCGGCGGUUGGGGAUGGACUCGCGGCUUAUCAGCUUGUUGGUGGGGUAGUGGCUUACCAAGGCUUUGACGGGUAGCCGGCCUGAGAGGGUGACCGGCCACAUUGGGACUGAGAUACGGCCCAGACUCCUACGGGAGGCAGCAGUGGGGAAUAUUGCACAAUGGGCGGAAGCCUGAUGCAGCAACGCCGCGUGCGGGAUGACGGCCUUCGGGUUGUAAACCGCUUUCGCCUGUGACGAAGCGUGAGUGACGGUAAUGGGUAAAGAAGCACCGGCUAACUACGUGCCAGCAGCCGCGGUGAUACGUAGGGUGCGAGCGUUGUCCGGAUUUAUUGGGCGUAAAGGGCUCGUAGGUGGUUGAUCGCGUCGGAAGUGUAAUCUUGGGGCUUAACCCUGAGCGUGCUUUCGAUACGGGUUGACUUGAGGAAGGUAGGGGAGAAUGGAAUUCCUGGUGGAGCGGUGGAAUGCGCAGAUAUCAGGAGGAACACCAGUGGCGAAGGCGGUUCUCUGGGCCUUUCCUGACGCUGAGGAGCGAAAGCGUGGGGAGCGAACAGGCUUAGAUACCCUGGUAGUCCACGCUGUAAACGGUGGGUACUAGGUGUGGGGUCCAUUCCACGGGUUCCGUGCCGUAGCUAACGCUUUAAGUACCCCGCCUGGGGAGUACGGCCGCAAGGCUAAAACUCAAAGGAAUUGACGGGGCCCCGCACAAGCGGCGGAGCAUGCGGAUUAAUUCGAUGCAACGCGUAGAACCUUACCUGGGUUUGACAUGGAUCGGGAGUGCUCAGAGAUGGGUGUGCCUCUUUUGGGGUCGGUUCACAGGUGGUGCAUGGCUGUCGUCAGCUCGUGUCGUGAGAUGUUGGGUUAAGUCCCGCAACGAGCGCAACCCUU
rnacentral:rRNA from 1 species